rnacentral:rRNA from 1 species
GACAGAGGGGGAAGCGUUGCUCGGAAUUACUGGGCGUAAAGGGCGCGUAGGCGGGAUGGCAAGUCGGUCGUGAAAUCCCUCGGCUCAACUGAGGAUCGUCGAUCGAUACUGCCGUUCUUGAGGAUUGCAGAGGAGACUGGAAUUCCCGGUGUAGCGGUGAAAUGUGUAGAGAUCGGGAGGAACACCGGUGGCGAAGGCGGGUCUCUGGGCAAUUCCUGACGCUGAGGCGCGAAAGCGUGGGGAGCAAACGGG